GUCGUUUCAGCAGCACAUAUAUUAAAAUUAGAACAAUACAGAAAAGAUUAGCAUGGCAUUUGUGCAAGGAUGACAUACAAAUUCAUGAAGCUUUUCAUAUUUUU